rnacentral:tRNA from 1 species
GUCCAGAAAUAUUGUGAGCUAUUUGUUAUUUAUCCCAUUAUUUCCCUCUCAGUUUAUAUUAAUGAUUCUCCUCUAAGAUAAAUAUUUUCUUUAGUGUACUUUUCCUUUUGUUCUACUUUUGGUAAUUGCUUACCAUAUUCUGGGAUAACCUAUAGUUCUCACAAUUAACAAUUUUCUUAUUUCUUCCAGUGCCCUAGAGUCUUUGGUGCAUAAUGAUUAGCUCACAAAAAUAAAGAAGAAUCCUAUUAUCAAUCCAUUACUGGUAACUUGAGUCACACUUUUGGUCAAGUCACUUCUUAAAUAUUUUUUUUCACCAAUUUCAUCCUCAUCAACUGCCUCAGAGUUGAGUUCAUUCCUUCAUUCAACUAGUCAUUUAUCCUUCUUUGGGGUUCUACAAUGAUUAAAACGUUGGGCUGGGAGCUGUGGGCUUUCCUCGUAGGCUUCAGGGUGAGAGCUUGACAUGUGUCCAGCAUAGCUCUGAAUACUGCCAGACAAGUUUCUGAUGAUAAAUGAAGGCUUGCUUCAGAGUGUAAAACUGACAACGUAGGGAGCCCUCCUGCAGUUCAAAGCAACUGUUAUUCCAUUUUCACUUACCAUGUGCCAGACCCUGUGGUCUUCCUUGGAAAAUCAGAAACAAGUAAGACCAGGCUUGUGUCUGGAGAAACAGCAGUAGAGAGAGAUAUUGGAAUAAUGGCAGGUGGAGUGUUCUGUGGCUGGGGGGGAAUCAUGUAAGGAAGUCAAUGAUAUUAUGUACAUUCACGUACAUACGUUUUAAUCCUCCAAACGACACUGUAAGGUCAGUGUUCUCAUUUUAUUUAUCCAUUUGUGUAUUUAUUUAUUUUUAGGGCCACACGUGCAGCAUAUGGAAGUUCCCAGGUUAGGGGUCAAAUCAGAGCUACAGCUGUCAGCCUACCCCACAGCCACACCAACACCAGAUCUGAGCUGCAUCUGCAACCUAUGCUGCAGCUUUCGGCAAUGCCAGAUCCUUAACCCACUGAGCGAGGCCAGGGAUCAAACCUGCAUCUUCAGGGACACUAUGUCAGGUUCUUAACCCUCUGAGGCACAACAGGAACUCCUAUUCUCAUUUUAAAGAUUAAAAAAAUGAAGUUCAUUCCAAGAAGUGCAUUAUAGUAAAUCAACGAGAUGGGAUUAGAAAACAUAUUCUUUUCAGAAGACAAUGUUUUUCAUGUUGAUUCCUCAGGUCACGCCAAUCUGGAUACUGCUAUAGCAUUAUUAUGACAGAAAAAAAUAGAGGUAGUAUUGGAGUUCCCUGGUGGCACAGUGGGUUAGGGAUCUGGUAUUGUCACUGCAGUGCCUCUGGUUGCACCUGUGGCAAGGGCUUGGGGAACUUCUGCAUGCUGUGGGCACUGCCAAAACCAACAACCAAUAAAAAAAAAAAACCCAUAAAAUAAAGAUGGUGUUUUCUUGGUGCAUUCUAAGGUGGCUGGAGCCUCAGCUUCUUUCUAAGUCGGUCUGUCUGAAUCAUGUGAUCUUAUCAAAUAUGAGAAUAUGUAAUUGGGGAAAGGUGGAUAUGAGGGGUGGGCUGAGAAGUGUGUGGAGAUUUUACCCGGUUUCUGAACUGCUACCUUCACUUGUUCAUUUAUUGGAAAAUGUCCUUUCCUCUCUUGAUGAGGUCAUUUUGUCUUUUCACUUCUACAGUUUGUUUGUUUUGCUUUUUUGGCUGUACUUGUGGCAGGCAGAAGUUCCUGGGCCAGGGAUUGAAACUGAGCCACAGCAGGUCCCCAAGCCUCAGCAGUGACAACACUGGAUGCUUAACCAGCUGCACCACCAGGGAACUCCAUCACUUCUACAGUUUUUGUAAUGAGGCAGGUGUAGAAAUACCCCACACCUCCUGAGGAGAUAAGCUCAAGUGUCAUCUGGCCAGACCCUUCCAUUGCAUUGUAUACACUCAGUUUUGUUCUGGAAAUCCAGUAGUGCAGUCUUUUUGCUGCUCCUCUUGUUUCAAGAUUAUACCAUUUGCCUAAAGGUCACUGGGCUGGGAGAUCAUCUGAGAAUUCCCAGACUGUGAUAAGCUUAACAAUUGUUAAAACGCUUAUGCACUUUUGCUCCGUUUCUCAGUGAUCCAGGAGUUAGGAACUGAGGGAGGAGAAAAAGUGAAUCAAAGUAGGAAAAACUAUAUCUGGUGGUACCUUUAUACCAGGACACAGAGGACAUAGAUUGGCUUACAUUCUGGAACCCACUUUACUAGUUCAAAACCUACUUUUAUUGGCUUAAGACUAUGAACUAAAGAUUCUAAUUUGUAACAGAGUUUUUACAUCUUUAUAGAUACAUGGGUGGACCUCACUACUUGAUCAUGACUUUCAACUGCUUAAGACCCCUCUAGGAUGAUCUUCUGGUCAGUAACUCUCAAAUAUCUGAAAUCAAAUGCUCCUUUAUUUGUUAAUGUCACCAUCGUCUUCUCAGGUACCCUUGCUUACACGCCGAGGGUCAUACUUGAUGCUUCACUUCCUAUUUUUUCUAAUACAAACUCUAUGGUCUAAUCCUGUCUUAAUAUAGGCAAGAUUUCUCCGUGGACCUCACUAACGACAUAUCUGUUAGUUAACAAAUGCUUCCUCAGCAUCGAGGCAGAUUUGAGAUGAGCACACUGUUCCCCCCUACCACCCCCGCCACAGCAUCCAAGUCAGCAAGGGCAGAGUAUGACCUGCCACAUUCUAGUUUCCUCACGCAAAAGAGACUGAGUAAUCAACUUCUUGACAUUCUCUUAUAUUUGCUCAGUUUGUUGUUUAUUAGAGAAAAAAAAAAAACAAAAAAACAAAAAAAAA